UACGUAGGCAGCAAGCGUUGUUCGGAGUUACUGGGCGUAAAGAGUGCGUAGGUGGUGCCCUAAGUCUGUUGUGAAAUCUCCCGGCUUAACUGGGAGGGUGCGGUGGAAACUGGGGUGCUUGAGUGUGGGAGAGGUAAGCGGAAUUCCUGGUGUAGCGGUGAAAUGCGUAGAUAUCAGGAGGAACACCGGUGGUGUAAACGGCUUUCUGGACCAUAACUGACGCUGAGGCACGAAAGCGUGGGUAGCAAACAGG
rnacentral:rRNA from 1 species